UGCGGAGGAUGCGAGCGUUAUCCGGAUUUAUUGGGUUUAAAGGGUGCGCAGGCGGCACGGCAAGCCGGCGGUCAAAUCGCGGGGCUCAACCCCGCCCAGCCGUCGGAACUGCCGGGCUAGAGUGGGCGAGAAGUGCGCGGAAUGCGUGGUGUAGCGGUGAAAUGCAUAGAUAUCACGCAGAACUCCGAUUGCGAAGGCAGCGCACCGGCGCCCUACUGACGCUCAGGCACGAAAGCGUGGGGAGCAAACAGG
rnacentral:rRNA from 1 species